UUGUUUCUUGUAGAUUGAAGUUCGGUAUCCACAGAACAUAUGCAGCGUGGGCAGCUGUGGUGCAGGCUUCCCCACAGUGCCCCAUUGCCUUGAUUCAAAUCUGACUUGGACAUGUUUACUGUUAGAAGUGGCUCCUCCAAGACGCAUUCAACCCUUGGCCUCU
rnacentral:sRNA from 1 species